rnacentral:rRNA from 1 species
UACGUAGGGGGCAAGCGUUGUCCGGAAUCAUUGGGCGUAAAGCGCGUGUAGGCGGCUCGAUAAGUCUGCUGUGAAAGUCCAGGGCUCAACCCUGGAAUGCCGGUGGAAACUGUCGAGCUAGAGUCCGGAAGAGGCGAGUGGAAUUCCUGGUGUAGCGGUGAAAUGCGCAGAUAUCAGGAGGAACACCAAUGGCGAAGGCAGCUCGCUGGGACGGUACUGACGCUGAGGCACGAAAGCUAGGGGAGCAAACAGG